rnacentral:rRNA from 1 species
CCUACGGGAGGCUGCAGUGGGGAAUAUUGCGCAAUGGGCGAAAGCCUGACGCAGCGACGCCGCGUGAGGGAUGAAGGUCUUCGGAUCGUAACCCUCUGUCAGCAGGGAAGAACGGUCACUGUGUUAAUCAGCAGUGAAUUGCCGGUACCUGCAAAGGAAGCACCGGCUAACUCCGUGCCAGCAGCCGCGGUAAUACGGAGGGUGAGGGCGUUAAUCAGAAUGACUGGGCGUAAAGCGCUCGUAGGAGGGAUGUCACGUCCAGGGUGAAAACCCCGGGCUCAACGUGGGAACUGCCUUUGAAACUGGCAAACUGGAGUGUGUGAGAGGAUAGUGGAAUUCGAGGUGUAGGAGUGAAAUCCGUAGAUAUCUGGAGGAACAUCAGUGGCGAAGGCGACUAUCUGGCACAUAACUGACGCUGAGGAGCGAAAGCGUGGGUAGCAAACAGGAUUAGAUACCCGAGUAGUC